UGGGUUCUGGCUCAGUGGUAGAGCACUUGCUUGUCAUGUGUGAGGUCCUGGGUUUAAUCCUCAGCAACACAU
rnacentral:tRNA from 1 species